rnacentral:rRNA from 1 species
AUUGAACGCUGGCGGCAGGCCUAACACAUGCAAGUCGAACGGUAACAGGAAGAAGCUUGCUUCUUUGCUGACGAGUGGCGGACGGGUGAGUCAUGUCUGGGAAACUGCCUGAUGGAGGGGGAUAACUACUGGAAACGGUAGCUAAUACCGCAUAACGUCGCAAGACCAAAGAGGGGGACCUUCGGGCCUCUUGCCAUCGGAUGUGCCCAGAUGGGAUUAGCUAGUAGGUGGGGUAACGGCUCACCUAGGCGACGAUCCCUAGCUGGUCUGAGAGGAUGACCAGCCACACUGGAACUGAGACACGGUCCAGACUCCUACGGGAGGCAGCAGUGGGGAAUAUUGCGCAAUGGGCGCAAGCCUGAUGCAGCCAUGCCGCGUGUAUGAAGAAGGCCUUCGGGUUGUAAAGUACUGUCAGCGGGGAGGAAGGGAGUAAAGUUAAUACCUUUGCUCAUUGACGUUACCCGCAGAAGAAGCACCGGCUAACUCCGUG